ACCUGGUUGAUCCUGCCAGUUGUCCAUAUGCUGUUCUCAAAGAUUAAGCCAUGCAUGUCUAAGUAUAAGCAAUUUAUACAGUGAAACUGCGAAUGGCUCAUUAAAUCAGUUAUCGUUUAUUUGAUAGUGCUUUUACUACUCGGAUAUCCGUGGUAAUUCUAGAGCUAAUACGUGCUAACAAUCCCGACUUCUGGAAGGGAUGUAUUUAUUAGAUAAAAAAUCAAUGCUUUCGAGCUUCUUGAUGAUUCAUAAUAACUUUUCGAAUCGCAUGGCCUUGUGCUGGCGAUGGUUCAUUCAAAUUUCUGCCCUAUCAACUUUCGAUGGUAGGAUAGUGGCCUACCAUGGUUGCAACGGGUAACGGGGAAUUAGGGUUCGAUUCCGGAGAGGGAGCCUGAGAAACGGCUACCACAUCCAAGGAAGGCAGCAGGCGCGCAAAUUACCCAAUCCCGACACGGGGAGGUAGUGACAAUAAAUAACGAUACAGGGCCCUUUCGGGUCUUGUAAUUGGAAUGAGUACAAUUUAAAUACCUUAACGAGGAACAAUUGGAGGGCAAGUCUGGUGCCAGCAGCCGCGGUAAUUCCAGCUCCAAGAGCGUAUGUAAAAGUUGUUGCAGUUAAAAAGCUCGUAGUUGAACUUUGGGUUUGGUUGGCCGGUCCGCUUUUUUGCGAGUACUGGAUUCAACCGAGCCUUUCCUUCUGGCUAACUAGUCGUUCUGCGGCUAGCGAACCAGGAUUUUUACUUUGAGAAAAUUAGAGUGUUCAAAGCAGGCAUUAGCUUGAAUAUAUUAGCAUGGAAUAAUAGAAUAGGACGUUAUGGUUCUAUUUUGUUGGUUUCUAGGACCAUCGUAAUGAUUAAUAGGGACGGUCGGGGGCAUCAGUAUUCAGUUGUCAGAGGUGAAAUUCUUGGAUUUACUGAAGACUAACUACUGCGAAAGCAUUUGCCAAGGACGUUUUCAUUAAUCAAGAACGAAAGUUAGGGGAUCGAAGAUGAUCAGAUACCGUCGUAGUCUUAACCAUAAACUAUGCCGACUAGGGAUCGGGUGUAGUCCUUUUUUUGGCUCACUCGGCACCUUACGAGAAAUCAAAGUUUUUGGGUUCUGGGGGGAGUAUGGUCGCAAGGCUGAAACUUAAA
rnacentral:rRNA from 1 species